ACCUAGCUAGCCGCCACUCUCUCCACUCCACAGCGCCAAAACUCCUCCUCCUACCCUCCUCUGUCCUCUCUGCAUCUGACUCGCCGGACAGCACCGUCACGGCGGCCCUUCCGCAUCGCGCUCCCUCUUCUCGGCGCGGUCCUUUCUCUCCCUCCCUUCCUCGUCACGCUUCCUUCUCGUCGUCGCACACUAACCCUUAGUCAGAGUGCGAGCCCAGACCCCAGAGCUCCCCUCCCUUUCCCCUGCACAGUGCCGUCUCCGAUAUUGCAGCGUCGUAAUCGUCCUCCACUACUCUGCCAUACGUCGCAAUCCAGUCCAGGAGUGUCGUCGUCCUUAUCAGUCUAGUCUCGUCCCAUCUGUAGCAGCCGCCGACCCACCGUGUCUCACUGUCCAGCAUCUCCGUCUUCUAUAAAAUUUACAGGAUACAAAAACAAAAAAGAGCAUAUAAAUGGUCAUGAAAGAGAUUUUGUGUUAUGAUGAUUGAUUGGUGCUGCGCCAGUUCCUCUUCCAAAUGAAUCUACAAGCAUCAGAUCUCCGACUGCAUUGCCUGCUGCGCCAGUCCUCGUAGAAACACUGAAAAUUUAUAUUUAUUUUAUCUUGUGUUGACUACUAAAUUUUUAAACUUCUUUAAUUAUCGUUUGUUAAUUUCUUUUAUCGUUGAAUUUUAUUGGAUUAAGACUUAGUUAUUGUGUAUUGUGUUUGUUGAUUUCAACGAGAUGACUUUGUGAAAUAGUUUGGUAGUAUUUUUUUUGAAUUGAUUGAAAAACCGAACAAACCGAACCAAACCAAACCGAAUUUAAUUGGUUUGGUUUGGUUCGGAUGAUCUCG